UUCCGGUUGAUCCCGCCGGACCUGACUGCUAUCGGAUUGAUACUAAGCCAUGCGAGUCAUUGUAGCAAUACAAGGCAGACGGCUCAGUAACGCGUAGUCAACCUACCCUAUGGACGGGAAUAACCUCGGGAAACUGAGUAUAAUGCCCGAUAGAACACUAUACCUGGAAUGGUUUGUGUUCCAAAUGAUUUAUCGCCGUAGGAUGGGACUGCGGCCUAUCAGUUUGUUGGUGAGGUAAUGGCCCACCAAGACUAUUACAGGUACGGGCUCUGAGAGGAGUGGCCCGGAGAUGGGUACUGAGACACGGACCCAGGCCCUAUGGGGCGCAGCAGGCGAGAAAACUUUGCAAUGUGCGAAAGCACGACAAGGUUAAUCCGAGUGGUUUCUGCUAAAGGAACCUUUUGACAGUCCUAGAAACACUGUUGAAUAAGGGGUGGGCAAGUUCUGGUGUCAGCCGCCGCGGUAAAACCAGCACCUCAAGUGGUCAGGAUGAUUAUUGGGCCUAAAGCAUCCGUAGCCGGCUCUGUAAGUUUUCGGUUAAAUCUGUACGCUCAACGUACAGGCUGCUGGGAAUACUGCAGGGCUAGGGAGUGGGAGAGAUAGACGGUACUCGGGAGGAAGUGGUAAAAUGCUUUGAUCUCUCGAUGACCACCUGUGGCGAAGGCGGUCUAUCAGAACACGUCCGACGGUGAGGGAUGAAAGCUGGGGGAGCAAACCGGAUUAGAUACCCGGGUAGUCCCAGCUGUAAACUAUGCGAACUCAAUGAUGCAUUGACUUAUGGUCAAUGCAGUGUUGCAGGGAAGCCGUUAAGUUUGCCGCCUGGGAAGUACGUACGCAAGUAUGAAACUUAAAGGAAUUGGCGGGGGAGCACCACAAGGGGUGAAGCCUGCGGUUCAAUUGGAAUCAACGCCGGA
rnacentral:rRNA from 1 species